GUAGGUGGCAAGCGUUGUCCGGAAUUAUUGGGCGUAAAGCGCGCGCAGGCGGUUCUUUAAGUCUGAUGUGAAAGCCCACGGGCUCAACCGUGGAGGGUCAUUGGAAACUGGAGAACUUGAGUACAGAAGAGGAAAGCGGAAUUCCACGUGUAGCGGUGAAAUGCGUAGAGAUGUGGAGGAACACCAGUGGCGAAGGCGGCUUUCUGGUCUGUAACUGACGCUGAGGCUCGAAAGCGUGGGGAGCAAACAGGAUUAGAUACCCUGGUAGUCCACGCCGUAAACGAUGAGUGCUAAGUGUUAGGGGGUUUCCGCCCCUUAGUGCUGCAGCUAACGCAUUAAGCACUCCGCCUGGGGAGUACGGCCGCAAGGCUG
rnacentral:rRNA from 1 species